rnacentral:rRNA from 1 species
UACGUAGGGUGCAAGCGUUAAUCGGAAUUACUGGGCGUAAAGCGUGCGCAGGCGGUUCGCUAAGACAGAUGUGAAAUCCCCCGGGCUUAACCUGGGAACUGCAUUUGUGACUGGCGGGCUAGAGUAUGGCAGAGGGGGGUAGAAUUCCACGUGUAGCAGUGAAAUGCGUAGAGAUGUGGAGGAAUACCGAUGGCGAAGGCAGCCCCCUGGGCCAAUACUGACGCUCAUGCACGAAAAGCGUGGGGGAGCAAAACAGGG